AGACCUUCGCAAGACAAUUUCAAGGUGCUGCAUGGUUGUCGUCAGCUCGUGCCGUGAGGUGUCAGGUUAAGUCCUAUAACGAGCGCAACCCCUGUUGUUAGUUGCCAGCGAGUCAAGUCGGGAACUCUAGCAAGACUGCCAGUGCAAACUGUGAGGAAGGUGGGGAUGACGUCAAAUCAUCACGGCCCUUACGCCUUGGGCUACACACGUGCUACAAUGGACGGUACAGAGAGCAGCCACUACGCAAGUAGGCGCGAAUCUUCAAAGCCGUUCUCAGUUCGGAUCGGAGUCUGCAACUCGACUCCGUGAAGCUGGAUUCGCUAGUAAUCGCAGAUCAGCCAUGCUGCGGUGAAUACGUUCCCGGGCCUU
rnacentral:rRNA from 1 species